AAUUCUCAAAACCUAUUGUUCUUCUUGAAUGGUAGGCUUUGGAUGUGAGGGCUUUGCUGGCCUUUGACGGGUUCAGCUCCCUUCGAAUGCAUUAGUGGUUGCUUAUCCGCUUUCAAUUGGUGUGAUAGUUAUCUACAUCAUUAGAGAUUGAAUCUGCUUCUAACCGUCUUUCGACAAAACUUUGACA
rnacentral:misc_RNA from 1 species